rnacentral:lncRNA from 13 species
UUUUGUUCUAACUCAUAUUUUGUUAUUUCAUUUUAAGGCCAUUUAAAAGCAAAGCAAAACAAAACAAAAUGGCUUUAGAAAAAGAACUGUCAAAUGUUGGGAGAGUGCUUUAUGUCUUGCAUGCCACCUCACUGCCUUCCCAGAUGUGGCCUCAGCAUCAUUCUCAACAUAAUUCUCCAGGCAGUACGCACAACUGGACUUGGCACUUAAGCUGAGACUUCCUUGUUACUCCUGGUCCAAAUGGACUUCAAGCGAAUAUCGCAGGAGCACUGGUCAGAUGCUGCUGGGUGCCUGCUGGACAAGCGAGCCAGAGGAACACCAAGGCCCUGCCCUCGAGGGGCAUGCCAGAAACCCCAGCAUUCCCAAUAAGGACCCUUGGUGCUUCUGGAAAGGAGUAUUGAAGCACCAGCCUUCCUUUCCAAAAUUCUAACCCAAGUUCUGGAACCAUUUCUAGAUGUGUGUGUGUACAUACAUAUACAUGUAUAUAAGUAUUUGCAUAUGUGUGUAUAUAUUAAAAUUUAUAUAUUUACUCUCAUAGAUGCAUGUAUUCAU